rnacentral:rRNA from 1 species
GACGAACGCUGGCGGCGUGCCUAAUACAUGCAAGUAGAACUUUGAAGAGAGGAGCUUGCUCUUCUUGGAUGAGUUGCGAACGGGUGAGUAACGCGUAGGUAACCUGCCUUGUAGCGGGGGAUAACUAUUGGAAACGAUAGCUAAUACCGCAUAACAAUGGAUGACACAUGUCAUUUAUUUGAAAGGGGCAAUUGCUCCACUACAAGAUGGACCUGCGUUGUAUUAGCUAGUAGGUGAGGUAAUGGCUCACCUAGGCGACGAUACAUAGCCGACCUGAGAGGGUGAUCGGCCACACUGGGACUGAGACACGGCCCAGACUCCUACGGGAGGCAGCAGUAGGGAAUCUUCGGCAAUGGGAGCAACCCUGACCGAGCAACGCCGCGUGAGUGAAGAAGGUUUUCGGAUCGUAAAGCUCUGUUGUAAGUCAAGAACGGGUGUGAGAGUGGAAAGUUCACACUGUGACGGUAGCUUACCAGAAAGGGACGGCUAACUACGUGCCAGCAGCCGCGGUAAUACGUAGGUCCCGAGCGUUGUCCGGAUUUAUUGGGCGUAAAGCGAGCGCAGGCGGUUUGAUAAGUCUGAAGUUAAAGGCUGUGGCUCAACCAUAGUUCGCUUUGGAAACUGUCAAACUUGAGUGCAGAAGGGGAGAGUGGAAUUCCAUGUGUAGCGGUGAAAUGCGUAGAUAUAUGGAGGAACACCGGUGGCGAAAGCGGCUCUCUGGUCUGUAACUGACGCUGAGGCUCGAAAGCGUGGGGAGCGAACAGGAUUAGAUACCCUGGUAGUCCACGCCGUAAACGAUGAGUGCUAGGUGUUGGAUCCUUUCCGGGAUUCAGUGCCGCAGCUAACGCAUUAAGCACUCCGCCUGGGGAGUACGACCGCAAGGUUGAAACUCAAAGGAAUUGACGGGGGCCCGCACAAGCGGUGGAGCAUGUGGUUUAAUUCGAAGCAACGCGAAGAACCUUACCAGGUCUUGACAUCCCGAUGCUAUUUCUAGAGAUAGAAAGUUACUUCGGUACAUCGGUGACAGGUGGUGCAUGGUUGUCGUCAGCUCGUGUCGUGAGAUGUUGGGUUAAGUCCCGCAACGAGCGCAACCCCUAUUGUUAGUUGCCAUCAUUCAGUUGGGCACUCUAGCGAGACUGCCGGUAAUAAACCGGAGGAAGGUGGGGAUGACGUCAAAUCAUCAUGCCCCUUAUGACCUGGGCUACACACGUGCUACAAUGGUUGGUACAACGAGUUGCGAGUCGGUGACGGCGAGCUAAUCUCUUAAAGCCAAUCUCAGUUCGGAUUGUAGGCUGCAACUCGCCUACAUGAAGUCGGAAUCGCUAGUAAUCGCGGAUCAGCACGCCGCGGUGAAUACGUUCCCGGGCCUUGUACACACCGCCCGUCACACCACGAGAGUUUGUAACACCCGAAGUCGAUGAGGUAACCUUUUGGAGCCAGCCGCCUAAGGUGGG